UACGUAGGGGGCUAGCGUUGUCCGGAAUCAUUGGGCGUAAAGAGCGUGUAGGCGGCCCGGUAAGUCCGCUGUGAAAGUCGGGGGCUCAACCCUCGGAUGCCGGUGGAUACUGUCGGGCUCGAGUACGGAAGAGGCGAGUGGAAUUCCUGGUGUAGCGGUGAAAUGCGCAGAUAUCAGGAGGAACACCAAUGGCGAAGGCAGCUCGCUGGGACGGUACUGACGCUGAGGCGCGAAAGCGUGGGGAGCAAACAGG
rnacentral:rRNA from 1 species